CGAAUUCAGGCCGGAGUUUUGAUCCUGUGCUCCGAGAUACACAGCCAACCAGUCGUGUUUGCAUCAUUUGCGUCAUAACAUGUUUAUUUUCAAAAAAAAAAAUAACGCAAAAAAAAGAAAAAAAAGAAAAGAAAAGAAAAAAGCUAAUCUCUUCAUGCAUAUCAUUUCUCAGGUUCAUUCAGGAGUCUGUUCACUGUGAGAGAUGGCAGCUGUUCCA
rnacentral:lncRNA from 1 species